rnacentral:lncRNA from 1 species
CCUUGGCUCGUUUUUCGAUGUUGAAUCUGCCUAUGGCUAAAUCGGAGCCAAACCACCGGCCAAUCGGCCAGAAAACCCCGCCGAAGUCCGGCAGUGCUGCCGCGACUUCCCUCUAUUCUUGCCUCUGAUGAAGCCCUUCCCGGUCUCUGUUCGAUGCAAAUUUUAUACCACUGUGAUCAUCGUUCUUUUCUCUACAGGUUGAUCAGAGCCAAACAUCAAAACGCGACUCAUGUCGGAGGAGCCGCCGCACCCG